rnacentral:tRNA from 1 species
CAGAGUGUAGCUAAAAUAGCAUAGCAUCUCCCUUACACCGAGAAGAUACCUGUGCAAACCAGGUCACACUGA